GCAAUCACUUCCUCCCCAUAACAUCCAGAUUUAAAGCCUUAAUUAAUGUUUUCUUUUAUCAUUAACAACGAUGAACCUUUUCUUUAUUAUUUACUCCCGAAGCAGACAAGGGGAGAGUUGCUCCAAACACCCGACGCGAGUAAGAGUGAUGUGCGAUGCGUCGGAGAGAGCCAAACCAGAAGUUUCUGUUACAUAUGGGUGUGUCGUGUUGCCCAAUGCAUUAUCCAGAUUUUGACGGAAAUUUAUUUAUAUAGCUCUUUGGAAGGAGACCAAGAAGACCAAAAAAAAAGGUCUUGGCACGUCGACUUCCGGCCGCGGUAUGGCCGGCGACGAGGAAGCGAAGCCGGAGACGCGUUGGUUUCGACGGUGCACUCCCCAAGUGCAGCUCGACAAGCUCAGGGUAUUCCCUAACUCUGUUGCUCCUUGCGUCGUGUUAAUUUCUCUAAUUCGUGCCAAGAACCAUCUCAUCACAUCUCCUCGUGAAGACUUCUGUGAAAUUGGAAGGAUCUACUUGCUAGGCGGAUCUCAAGAUAGCCCUAUGUUUUUAGUUCCGUCAAUACUUCAAUUUUGUUCUCUGAUUAGCACAUGUAGUAGGAAUUGCACAAGUAGCGUUUUCAACUCAAAGCACAGGCAAAGGAGAGAACAAAAUUGAAAGGGAGCACACAGAUGAGUGUAAAGACAUGUGAGGAGACACCUGAUGUGGAGAAUACAGAUACUUCGGUCACUACUGUUGGAGGCAGUUCAAGUUCUCCGACAUCAAAAGAAAAAAAGAAAAAAGGCUUGCUUGACAUGUUCUCCUAUAAUUUUAGAAUUUCGGAUUAACUCUUUCCUUCUCUUGCAUUACACAUUCCACCUUCUACAAAGCACAUUA